CGCAACUUCGAGCAUUCAAACAUUCCCAAUUACCAUCGCCUCCCUAAAUAGCAAUGGUAAUUGGGGAUGUUCGGUUGCUCGAGGUUGCG
rnacentral:miRNA from 1 species